ensembl:snRNA U1 U1 spliceosomal RNA
UUACUUACCUGGCAGGGGAGACACCAUGAUCAAGGAGGCGGUUCACCCAGGGCGAGGCUCGUCCAUUGCACUCCAGCCGUGCUGACCCCUUUGAAUUCCCCAAAUGUGGGAAUCUUGACUGCAUAAUUUGUGGUAGUGGGGGACUGCAUUCGCACUCUCCCCUG